rnacentral:rRNA from 1 species
AGAGUUUGAUCCUGGCUCAGGAUGAACGCUGGCGGCGUGCCUAAUACAUGCAAGUCGAGCGAACGGACGAGAAGCUUGCUUCUCUGAUGUUAGCGGCGGACGGGUGAGUAACACGUGGAUAACCUACCUAUAAGACUGGGAUAACUUCGGGAAACCGGAGCUAAUACCGGAUAAUAUUUUGAACCGCAUGGUUCAAAAGUGAAAGACGGUCUUGCUGUCACUUAUAGAUGGAUCCGCGCUGCAUUAGCUAGUUGGUAAGGUAACGGCUUACCAAGGCAACGAUGCAUAGCCGACCUGAGAGGGUGAUCGGCCACACUGGAACUGAGACACGGUCCAGACUCCUACGGGAGGCAGCAGUAGGGAAUCUUCCGCAAUGGGCGAAAGCCUGACGGAGCAACGCCGCGUGAGUGAUGAAGGUCUUCGGAUCGUAAAACUCUGUUAUUAGGGAAGAACAUAUGUGUAAGUAACUGUGCACAUCUUGACGGUACCUAAUCAGAAAGCCACGGCUAACUACGUGCCAGCAGCCGCGGUAAUACGUAGGUGGCAAGCGUUAUCCGGAAUUAUUGGGCGUAAAGCGCGCGUAGGCGGUUUUUUAAGUCUGAUGUGAAAGCCCACGGCUCAACCGUGGAGGGUCAUUGGAAACUGGAAAACUUGAGUGCAGAAGAGGAAAGUGGAAUUCCAUGUGUAGCGGUGAAAUGCGCAGAGAUAUGGAGGAACACCAGUGGCGAAGGCGACUUUCUGGUCUGUAACUGACGCUGAUGUGCGAAAGCGUGGGGAUCAAACAGGAUUAGAUACCCUGGUAGUCCACGCCGUAAACGAUGAGUGCUAAGUGUUAGGGGGUUUCCGCCCCUUAGUGCUGCAGCUAACGCAUUAAGCACUCCGCCUGGGGAGUACGACCGCAAGGUUGAAACUCAAAGGAAUUGACGGGGACCCGCACAAGCGGUGGAGCAUGUGGUUUAAUUCGAAGCAACGCGAAGAACCUUACCAAAUCUUGACAUCCUUUGACAACUCUAGAGAUAGAGCNNNNNNUUCCCCUUCGGGGGACAAAGUGACAGGUGGUGCAUGGUUGUCGUCAGCUCGUGUCGUGAGAUGUUGGGUUAAGUCCCGCAACGAGCGCAACCCUUAAGCUUAGUUGCCAUCAUUAAGUUGGGCACUCUAAGUUGACUGCCGGUGACAAACCGGAGGAAGGUGGGGAUGACGUCAAAUCAUCAUGCCCCUUAUGAUUUGGGCUACACACGUGCUACAAUGGACAAUACAAAGGGCAGCGAAACCGCGAGGUCAAGCAAAUCCCAUAAAGUUGUUCUCAGUUCGGAUUGUAGUCUGCAACUCGACUACAUGAAGCUGGAAUCGCUAGUAAUCGUAGAUCAGCAUGCUACGGUGAAUACGUUCCCGGGUCUUGUACACACCGCCCGUCACACCACGAGAGUUUGUAACACCCGAAGCCGGUGGAGUAACCUUUUAGGAGCUAGCCGUCGAAGGUGGGACAAAUGAUUGGGGUGAAGUCGUAACAAGGUAGCCGUAUCGGAAGGUGCGGCUG